GUCUUGGCUGUCCCCAUUGACCUUAUGCUAAUCAAGGGACCUAUAUUUAGGGUUUCAUUCCUUCCUUGAUCUUUAGUUCUCCUUUUCUUUGUGAUACAAGAUUAAGUUGUAGAACAAGAAUUGUAGUAGGAACUUCUAUUGUUUUUAGGUAAAACAAAUGGCAGAAUUAUCCUUAGAAACACCCACUUGACCAUGAUGUAAAAAGUCUGAGCCAGAGUUUGACUGUUUCUGUAUAAAUAAAGCGGACAGCUUUCCC